UUUAUUCAUUAUGAAACUUUUCUUUCCACACAAAAAUGACCUACGAACACUCCGGUUGAGUUUGAAGAACAAGAAAAACAGUAGAGGUCUACCAGGUACCUAUGGUUAAACAUGAUGAUCAUAAGUGCAUGUAUCAUUUUGCAGAUUCUCAUCCAGGAUGAUGCAGCUCUACAAUUUCCAUGGAGGUGAUUGAUGAUGAUAAACAAUUGGUGAAGUAGGCCUAAUAGAACAGUGAUAGGACCACAAAGAGAAAUACAACCUGCAGCAGUUAUAUGAGACUGGUGUAACAGAUGUAAGAAAUCCAACGAAUUGAAGAGUGACUUAGCUUAGGAAGCACUUGAUAAAGAUGGAAAAGGUGUUUUUUUUCAAUUCCAAUUUUUUUUUUUUUUAUUAUAAUCACAACCCCAAAUUCAUGAAGUAUGAAAUUUCCUGUCGAUUUUCAUUGAAACUGGUUGCAAAAGGAGAAGCUAUAAACAUACAAACAGAAGCGGCGAAGUGAAGUUGAAAGUGUGGGGGGGGGGCACAGGGAAAAUGCUGUAUUAUGUGAAAUUUUUAAGAAGUUGCGAGAGAGCACAAUUUUGACGUUUUUAAAAAGAAAAUCAAAUUUUGUGAUAGAUUUCGACAAAAUAUUCAGAAUGAUAUAUUUCACCCUUUUUUUUGGGGGGGGGGGGGGCAAGAGUCCUUCAAGCCCCCCCCCCCCUCCUCCAUCUGUAGUGUACGAAACUGCUUAUCUACCCCCACUCACAUGAAUUAUUAAACUUAAUGCACAAAGGAUUUCCUUAUUGUUUUCUUGUUUCAAAGGGCACUCGUCAUGGUGACCAUAAAACGGGUCCUUCUCAGGUGAAAGGGGCACAGAACAAAUUCUUUAGGAGCACUUUUCUUGGGUAAAAGGGGGCAGUUAUUCGAGAAAGGGCACUUACAAGAAGGCGAGGGGGCACUUUUUAACACUUAAAACGGGUCCUCGUCAAGUGAAAGGGACACAGUACACGUUCGUGAGGGGGCAUUUUUCUUACAUAAAAUUAAAGGCACUUUUCAGUGCUUCAAAAAGUAGGGGGAACUGUGCCCCCCAGGAUCGCUGCCCCUGCAUACAAAAAACAUUUUCGUUCGAUUCAAAGUAUUAACAUACGCUUAAGAAAAAAAGUAAGGCUGAAUCCUCUGAUAAUGUGAUAUUUUUUCUGGCUAUUAAUAAAAUUCACAACUAACCAG